GACGAACGCUGGCGGCGUGCUUAACACAUGCAAGUCGAACGGAAAGGCCCCUUUGGGGGUACUCGAGUGGCGAACGGGUGAGUAACACGUGAGUAACCUGCCCUUGACUUCGGGAUAACUUUAGGAAACUGGGGCUAAUACCGGUUAGGAAUCCUUUCUGCAUGGGGGGGGUUGGAAAGCUUCGGCGGUUUUGGAUGUACUCGCUGGAUAUCUGCUUGUUGCUGGGGUAGUGGCUUACCGAGGCUUCGUCGGGUAGCCGGCCUGAGAGGGCGACCGGCCACAUUGGGACUGAGAUGCGGCCCAGACUCCUAAGGGAGGCAGAAGUGGGGAAUAUUGCACGAUGGGCGGAAGCCUGAUGCAGCAACGCCGCGUGCGGGAUGACGGCCUUCGGGUUGUAAACCGCUUUCAGCAGGGGCGAAGCUUGUGGUGACGGUACCUGCAGAAGAAGCACCGGCUAACUACGUG
rnacentral:rRNA from 1 species